AUGGCAGAGGACUGAUGGUGGGUUAGUGGCAAAGCCAGGGCCAGAUUCUUUCUGCCACACAACACUGUUAUCAUUGAGUUGAAUCUUGAUGGAGUUCUGUGCAACACUUCUUUUUCAUAAUGGUGAUAAUGGAAUUUCCCCGUUUACAUAGCCCUUUGAUAUUCUUUAUUUAAUACACACAACAACUCUUGAUGUAACCAGGCAAGGGUUGUUGUCUCCAUUUUACAGGUAAAGAAUCAGGGGCUCAUGGAGGUGAAUGAUUCAGAGCUGAUUUGCAUGUGCAGUGUAAUUCAACACACGAAUUUGUGGGUGUCGUGGCCUUAUCUGAACUGUUUCCACUGCUUGGAAAGUCACUGCCUGUGCUGCCCAUGCCUGCUCCCCGCCUUAAGAUGUGGUUUGAGGGUUACCUCCUUCAACAAUUGUUCUCUGAAUUUUCCCGCAUGACUUGGGUGUCCCUUCUAUGACGAAACCGCCUCUUCUGGAUCCUAAGAUCCUCCAGAGGAACAGACAGCUUGGUGUCCCUGCCCCACUGCAGAGGCUAGGAGUCCCCAGCAGGGCCCCGCCGCCUCCCUGGCCCUAAGUCUAUCCCUGUUCUUUCACUCACCACUGCAUUUGUCACACUCCUCUGGAACUGCAGUCUUCUUGAAAGCAGGGAUUAUGUCUUCCGUCUUUCAAGCAUCAAAGUCUGGCUUCGUAUUGGCGUUUCAUAAGUGUGAGUUAACCCAAUAAUGAACUUUUUAGAGUCAGGAUUUUAACUCAGGUCCUCUGAUGCAGUUACUGCCUGCCCCUUUGAGGAGUGUGAGAUGUAAAACCAGAUAGUAGAAUAAAGCCUCUUCAAGGGGUGAACUAGCCAGCCACAAAGGCAAAAUCAUUCCUAAUUACAAAUAAAAUCACCUAAAGCACACCAGCUCUGCUUGUCUGCCCUGGCAACAAAACCUUGCAAAAGUCCUCCAGACUUUCCUCAUCUCACUGUGCACAAGAUGGAAAAAUUUAGUCAAGACUAAAGGAAGCCUUGGGGGUGCUUAGAGGGAGCCCUCUGUUAAAGUGUUGUGCAGUCACUUACAUCUGAACAUGAGAGAAAGACAAAAGGGAGAUGAGGUAAAAACAGAGCAAAUGAGGGAAACGUAGAUUUGCUCAGACGUGUGGUGCAAGCCGUGUGUUGACGGAUGGGGGUGGUUCCUGAUCAUCUGUUUUGACUCAAGGUUGGGUCGGCUCUGGUUUGAGUUCACAUGGACCAGCCUCACAAAUGAGAACAUCCAUCUCUAGGACGUGCAAGAGCCAGGCUGCACUCCGUUUCUCUAAACUCUCUCGUGAUAAUCUGCAAUGGAACCGAUCAUUUCUCUGCCCAUUUCAGGCGUGUCUGAGUGGCAGUGACUUAUUAGCCCUGUAAAUUUGGCCUGUGCAUCAUUUUACAGGAGUAUGUAGGAGUCUGGAUUUAUAGAAGUUAGCCUCCAGCAAAAUAUUUCCUGUAUUAUAGCAGCACCAGGGCACGGGAAAAUUGGUAAAGAGAUUUGAGAGGACUAGAGAGAAGUAAUCUCUUCUAGAACUCUGGUACAAUGAUUUUCCAUGUAAUUUACAAUGUGUGGAGUUCCACUGGAUUUUAAAAGAAAUGGUGGGGCAUUUUUUUUGGUAAAAAUGAUAUAUGCUUAUCAUAAAAAAUUCAAGUAAUACAUAAAAAAGUAUAAGAAAAAAGAUCUUGAAAAACUUCUUAAUUCUACCAUACAGACAACCAUUGGUAAGUUUGGUGAACAUUAUUUCAGAUACUCUCCACAGGUGGAUGGCUAAAAUAAUUUUAGAAAGAUGAGUUCAUACAGUUUAUUCUAUUUUAGAAGAAGUAAGCUAAUUAAAAAAUUUAGUUGACAGGCUAAAAUGAAUUCACUUUAGUUAUGUGUUUUCUAUAGGAAUUUUAAACAUUCAUCACAUUAUUUUAUUUUUAUAAUUUUUAAAGAACAUAAAAUGACCUGUAAAUGCCAGUAUUUGUGGAAUGACAGAACUGGAAAGGCCAACAACGUCAUUUAUUGCAGCUUUCUGCUUUUAGGUAGGUCAACUGCAAAUUGCUGAGGGUAUUUUUUUUUUUUUAAGAUUUUUAGUUUUCCUUUUUCUCCCAAAGCCCCCGGUACAUAGUUGUGUAUUUUUAGUUGUGGGUCCUUCUAGUUGUGGCAUGUGGGAUGCCACCUCAGCAUGGCCUGAUGAGCGGUGCCAUGUCUGCGCCCAGGAUUCUAGCUGGUGAAACCUCGGGCCGUUGAAACAAAGUGUGCGAACUCAACCACUCGGCCACGGGGCUGGCCCCACUGAAGGUAUUUUUAAACUGUUUUUAAAGAACUCAAGGGAUAAAGGAUCAAUUGCAUUCUCAGUAGAUGUCCAACAUUUACUCGUCCUUUUGGUCAAUGAGCAUUUCACCUGUGAUAUGGUUUCAUGAUUUUUUAAAAAAUUUCUAUUGAGUUCAAAUUGUUCAGAAUAUAAAUUGUUCUUCUUUGCAUGACUUUCCAGCUAAAAGAUUUGUAAUUUUCACAUUUAGUUCAUCUUUCUGAUGAACUGAGAUGUUGUCAUUAAAAGGAAAUGGGUAUUUUGCAGGGGGUUGAGUGGUGAGUGAACGAAUGGGGUUGCACGUGGGUGCAUUAGGGAUCAGAUGGGAGCCCUGUCAACAGUUAGUUGUCAUUAACUGAAAGCACAGUGUGUUUGUGCCUUUUAAAGACAAUCAUUCCAUCCCUGAAGCGUUCUAUAGGCCCCCUCUUGUUUAUAGUGAGAGAAGAAUGGCCAAAACAACACCCAAAUAGACUUUUACUAUGCAUGACAUUUCAGAACAGAUGAGUAGUAGAGCUUCAGGAAAAAUUGCUGUGUCAUUAUCCUGUGAUUUGGAGGGUUACAUAAAAAGACUAGAUGUUUAUAGAAAUAAAACACAGCUUCUGCAAUGACACCAGGUCAGACAUUUUAUAAAUGCCUAGGUUUAUCAAACUCUGGCCAAAUCAAAAGAAAAUUUUCUCAUAUUUUGAUUUUUCCAGAAAAAAGAGGCCAACAGAUAAAAGGUUUAAAUUAAAAAGUAUCCAACAUAGUGUUUCAGACGAGGAGGGAAGGUAAACCAAUGUAAAAUUGCUUCCAAAUAGUAUCUGUAUAUAUUGACUGAUAUACAGGGAAAAAUAAUUAAAAACACACACGGGCAAAAAGAGUUUUAAGAUUACAGAAGGAAAUUUCCUCAAACAGUAUGUCUUGAGAUAAAUGUGUUGGAAACCCUUCUUAAUCUGGUUUUUAGAAGCUGGAGAGAAUUAGAUAAGGAUGCAGCAGUAGACAGAGCCUUGUAAGUGACCACAAACGAAUAGCAUUUGGGGCCUUAAGAGAAGAGUUAGGAAAUUUGAAGAAGAGAAGGCAUCAGAGAAAGAAAGAGAAAGCAGAUUUCAGUUAAAUAAGAUCUGUUUUGACAGAAAUCUAAUUCAGCAAGUGUUUAUUAAGAUCCUAAUCCAUAUUAGCAUAUUUUUGAGCAAUUCAAAAUGUAUGAAAAGUGAAGCCGUGUUUGCUGCACGUCCUGCGCGUCAAGCAACUGCCUAGUUAUCCCAGAACUUAAUCGUAAGGAAGCUUAAAGGCCCAGGGUAUGGCCAACAUCUUCAACUCCUCAACACUUUCAGUUUACAGAGGGCUGUGGCAGGCCCUCCGUAAAUGUUUGUUAACCUUGGUCUUGGGAAGAAUAUAAAGUCGUAGUGGAUUGUGUGGUAUAGAAUAAGUUAAGAUAAAAAGGAGAAGAAAAGGAAGGAUAAUUGUGGGCAGGGGUAGUUAAAAAAGAUAAGCCUAAGUGGAUACUUAAGGGACCCUCAUGGUUGGGAAGGAGCAAGAGGUCCUAGGUAGUAGAGUCAGAAAGAAUGGCUGGAAAGGAAUGACAACUCCUGUAGAAUUUCCCAAAUUCUAGAUUCUUCUGAUUGCUUCCCCAUGGUAAUUUUUUGAGCGUGGUUCUCUGACCGCUGUAUUUCUUUGAAGGUAAUAAUGAGAGCUAAAGGCUUUAUUAGAUUCCAGUCUGGCAUUUUGGGCAGGAAUGCUUCGUAGGGAGUGUUGUGCACUUCCUGUUGUUCACACUGCGAAUCACUGCUUCCAUUUUAGCUGAGCUCUUUAACUUGGAAUUCAGUGGUUAGACUUCAAGAAGUUGGUAAAAUCUCUAAAACUGUUUACAAAAUUUUGUUUAAGUCUUGACAUGUUCACUCUUCUGAGGGGGAGGUGACAGCUUUCAUUAACUUUUCAAAGAAGUCUACAAAUAGAAAAAGUUGGGAGCCAAUGAUGUAAAACUUUAAAGGUUCCUUCUCUCUGUUGGCCUCUAGUUACCAAGAAAAUGUUUAGGAUUUUCAUGUUCUAUAGGAACAUAAUAUUGGACUUUGAAAUGAACCAUAUUUACCAUCUGUCUCAUACCCGUCAUUUUACAGACAAGAAACAAAAGAAGGGAAUUCCUUUCAGCAAGGGCCCGUGGCUAGUUAAUAGCAGAGCUAGGAUUGGCAGUGGGAUUCCAUGACAUUGUUGUAGAGCUCCCUAAUUUCUUUGCUUUAUUAUUUUUUAAAGCCAUAGAGAUGAUGCUUUAGGUUCCCUAAGAUUUUUGCAAUUGUGGGAUGUUGAUUCAUGCACCUGUUGAUUUACAAAUGUCCAGCUGUGUUUAAAAUGUUUCUGUUACUUUUUUCUCCUAUCCCCACACUAUGCAUUUCGUCUCUGAUUCCAUUGUUGGUUAAAGUCUGCAGCCACAAAUAAUUAGGUUAAAUUUAAUUCACUUAAUUAUUUAAUUUACUAAUUUAAUUACUCUAAUUUAAUUUACUUAAUUGUUUCUUUUGUUGAGAGUUUACUUUAGAGGUGCUCUGGUUCUGUGAGUAGAGAGACUAAUAAGACGCAGUUCCUGCCUCCCAGGAUUCUCUAGUCUAUAGAUAUGGGAGUUUGUUUUGUUUUGUUUUUUGCAGAUUUAGUACCCUGCCAGAUGAACAAUGUGUUACGUUAGGGUCUGUUCUGUGGUGCUUAGGAGCAGUUACUGAUCUUUACUCAUUUAUGCCUUGAAUUCAGAAUUGCCAGUUCUCAGGGAGACAUGGAAAGUUAGCAUUAUCACCAACAGAGACAGCUUCAUUUUCUUGGUUGUCGGGCUCUUUUCACCUGGUGGAGAUGAAGUCUUCAUCAUUUGAGUGACAUAUUUGUCAUUCAGCACCUUAGUGUGAAACUUGGGAAGAGUGGGCCAGCCUAUCCCAUAAUACUGGAGCUGAAUCUCAUUUAUCACUAUCACCUUCAAAAGAGGAGGCCUAUCUCUUCCCUUUUCCCAGCUGACACCAUACCUUGCUGAGAAGGUAAGAGGUGUUCCAGCCAGAUCACUUCUUUGAAAGGAGUGCCGGGACAGCCUGGCUUAAGCCUGAUUUUAGAUAGAUGCUUAAGUCCCUUUGCACUGCCUCUGGCAUGGCACCAGGGCUAUUGGGGUGAUUUUGUUUAUUUAAGGCUACAGAAGAAAAACAGGUCCCCACUAGUGGGUGGGGAGUGCUAGUGCAAGACUGAAAUGAUUUCACUCUUCUUUUUUCUCCUUAUUAUCAUCUUAAUCCAAAGAACAUGAUAGGUAACCAAAUAAAUCCCUUACACAAAGGCUGUUGUCACUGGUAAUCCUUGAAUUAACCUGCAUUUUACAUUUUAAGUAACUGGUGUUGGUUUACUGAGACAUCAUCUCAUGCAACUUGCCAAAAUCUUGUCUUGGUAGGUUUCCCCUUUAGCCCAGUGUGGUUCUUGUUGUGUUAGGGUCAGUGUGUGGAGGCCUGUGGGAAGGUCCUUGCACACCAUGAUUCUUCCUCACUUGACAGUUGUUGGUGCCUGAAAUGCAACAUUUGUUUGUUUGGUUCACAAAAAUAUUGCUUCCUAUUAAAAAAAACACCUUAAUGUAUUGUUCACCUUUUCAUUCAUCCAUUCAUAGAACGAAUAUUUACUGAAUACCUACUCUAAGUGACUGGAGCAUAGAGAGCAAGGGGGAAAGUAGGAUGAGAUGAAGCUGGUGAUGCAUUUAGGUGCUUUCCCACCUCUGCUAAGUAUUUUGAUCUUCAACACAAGAGCCAUGGAGAGCUACAGAAAGAUUUUAAGCAAAGGAAUGCUGUACCAUGAUCAUGUUUGUGUUUUAAAAAGAUAACCCUGGCAGCUUUGUGGAGAAGAAAUGAGAGAGUAAACGUGUAGGGAUCAGUUGGGAGCCUAUUGCACCUGUGCAGAAGAGAAAUGAUGGUGAUUUAUUUGUUAUUUUUUGUAGAAGAAUGAUUUAGUGAAAUAUGCAGAGGUAUUAGAAGAGUAACACAGCUUUAGUUAGUUUUCUGCCAUGAAAAAGAAAACAUCAUAAUAAAAUUCAAUUUAUCGUUGAUUCUUACGGCAACUAUAGUGUGCAUAUGCUGCAUUUGUCCCCUCAAUAGGAUGAUGUAAUAAAUAUACUGUUUAUUAUGCUAUCCUAAACUGUAUGUGUUUGAUACAUAUCCUAAUCCGUACACUUUUAGACAGGAAAUAUAGUAAUAAUAUAUUUUGCUAAAGUAUUUUUUAGUUCAAGGCUCUUAGCUUGUUUAAUGGACAAGUAACUACCAUGAUGGACUCUCUUUUCUAGACGAAAGAAUUAAAGCAGUGGAAGGAGAAAGACUUGUCUAGGGUUGUCCAGUGGGUCAAUGGCAGAGAGGCCGUGGAGCCCAGCCCCUACGUCACCACUGGCUUCAUAUUUCAUCCAUCUGCUUGCAGUGACUUCAUGUGUCUUUACAGUAUCUUUGCAGAUUUAUUUCUUGGUUGCUCCUUCUGUAUUUGUAGGAGAUAUUCUCCUUACCUCUUUUCUUGCUUAUUAGUUAUUAUUCAUGUGUUGACUUUUAGAUGGAAAAUUAGAUUGAUUCUCUCCCCAUUCUCUCUUUUAUUUUGGCUGGGAAUGAUUGCUUUUUCUAUGCUUCCAGUUUCAAAGAGUUCUGCCCUUCCUUUUUCAAAAAAUCACCCUGAUGAUGCUGUAUCUUAUCUAUAUGUUUGCUACAGUGUAAAUUAGUGGAAAGGACUUUAGGCCAGGGGUUCAAGUCCCUGCUCUGCUAUUAACCCACUGGGUGAUCUUAACCUCUCUGGUCUCAGUUUUCUUAUGGUUAAAAUGGGACUAACAAUAAUCCUCCCUGUAAUUAAUAGGGCUGUUGUGGGGAGUGAAUGAGUUAAAGUACAUACGUGAACUUUGUAAUCUGUAUGUAAUAGACAUACAUGAGCUAUAUAAUCGGCAUGUAAUAUACACACGUGAGCCUUGUAAUCAGCAUGCAAUGUACAUAUAUGAGCUAUGUGGUCUGUAUGUAACUCACAUACAUGAGCUGUGUAAUCCUUACGCAAUGUGCAUACAUGAACUAUGUAAUCUAUAUGCACUGUACAUAACAUGAGCUAUGUGAUCAAUAUGUAACAUACACACAUAAACUUUGUAACCUAUACAUUGUAGUGUGCACAGGAGGACAGAGGGUGACGAUGAUCGUAAACAACCCUUCUCUACCCUGUGAUCCCACAGCUCAGGAGAGAGAAGAGACCAUUGAAAUUGUCAGGAGGUCACACGCGCUAGAUAAAAAAUCCUAGCCUAAAAGGCAUACUUCUGUCUCCAGAUGAAUCCAAAGAUAAACGUUAACUGCAAGAGUUCAUAUUUUAUAAACACAGUCCUUGUAAAGGUCAGUCUAAGUUCAUGCUGAUGAAUGUUCUGGUUACAAGCUCGAAGUUCAAAUUCUGGCUGUGCCAUCUGCUGCCCAACCCCUUAGGCCUCAAUUUCCACACCUGUGAACUGAGAUUCAUCCUCACCCCUGAUUGACGGAGUUAUUGUGGGAAUUAAAUUAGAUAAUCCAUGCAUUUUACAUAAAAAGUGCUCAGUAUCACUAUUAUUCAAAUACGUUUGUGUGUGUGUGUUAGAAUACUCUAUUUUGGCCAGGUAAAAUAAGCCCAUAUCACUCUAUGUUCUGGCUUUGGGUACAGUUUGUUGGGAAGUUAGAUAUUUUUUAUAGAAUGCCCUAAAUUUAUAGGAUUUGUUUCAAUAUGCUUUGUGCCUUUUAAAUUGUCACUUUUCUAUAUACAUCAUAUCCUAAAUAUAAUCCCCAAUUUCUUUGUUUGGUAUUUUUAUUCUUAUUCCUACUAUGUUAUGUUUAUUUAUAUUUUAGGAUGGACACUAUUUCCACUCUAAGGAAGUCACCGGAAUAUUCCGAAUGUUAUGUUGUGUUAUAAUAACUGGGCUUUAAGGUGGGCCUGAUGUAAUCCUGACCGUCUUUAAAAGUGGAAAAGGGAGGUAGAAGAGUCAGUCGGUGUCGGAGAAAGACCUGUGAUGACAGUGGAGUUUGGAGUGAUGAGAUUGCUGACACUGAACAUGGAAGAGGAACGCAAGCCAAGGAAUGGGAAUGGCCCCUAAAAGCUGGAAAAGGCAAGGAAGCGGAUUCUCCCCUAGGACCUCUAGGAAGAAGCAGUCCUGCUAGCACCUUGAUUUCAGCCCAGGGAGACCCUUGACAGACUUCUGAAAUAGAGAACUGUAAGAUAAUAAAUUUGUGUUGUUUCGAGCCACUAGGUUUGUGCUGAUUUGUUCCAGAGGUCAUAGAAAAUUAAUAUAGCAAGAAUGUGUGUGUGUGACAUGGAAAUAGGAACUCUAGUGACUGAUUUUUGCUGAAGAUUAAAUUAAGGUGAAUAAAAUAUUUUUCCAUGUCAUUUAUAAAAUAUAUAUUUUCAAUACACGUAUUUAAUAUGGAUAUUUAAUUAUCAGCAUAAGAGCAAACAUGGUUGUUGUGACUCAAUUUCAUAGACAUUACAUUAGCCAAAUUAUAGACAGAUUUUUUAUUUUCAAAUUAAUUUGUAUAAUACAUCUCACAAAAUUAUAGAAUUUAGAUCACAUUCAAUUAAAUAUUUCACAAAUAAUUUUUAUUGUAAAGUAUAAAAGUCAUAAAAUCAAGGCUUCUCCUGAAGAUUAAGGGCAUACACUUACUGUAAUUAGGAUAGAUGUGAAUAUUUGUCUUUUAUUUACAGCCCAAGCCCAG